rnacentral:rRNA from 1 species
CCAAUAGCGUAUAUUAAAGUUGUUGCAGUUAAAAAGCUCGUAGUUGAACCUCGGGGUCUACCCAUUGGUCAGGCUUAAUUGUCUGCACUGGUGAGAUGGAUCUCUACCUUCUGAGGAACUUUCAUGCCAUUUAUUUGGUGUGAUGGGAAAUCAGGACUGUUACUUUGAAAAAAUUAGAGUGUUUAAAGCAGACUAUCGUCUGAAUACAUU